rnacentral:misc_RNA from 1 species
UACGGAGGGGGCUAGCGUUGUUCGGAAUUACUGGGCGUAAAGCGGGUGUAGGCGGAUCGCUAAGUCGGGGGUGAAAGCCCAGGGCUCAACCCUGGAAUUGCCUUCGAUACUGGCGAUCUUGAGUCUGGGAGAGGUGAGCGGAAUUCCGAGUGUAGAGGUGAAAUUCGUAGAUAUUCGGAGGAACACCAGAGGCGAAGGCGGCUCACUGGACCAGUACUGACGCUGAGACCCGAAAGCGUGGGGAGCAAACAGG